AAGUCGUAACAAGGUUUCCGUAGGUGAACCUGCGGAAGGAUCAUUACCUUUCUGGCUAUUUAAUAGCUUGUCUGGGGGCUCAGUUUCUGCAGUCUCUGGACUACAUCCUGUGUUUUUUGCGUACUACAAUGUUUCCUCGGUCGGGCUUGCUUGCCGGUUGGACAAACUAAAACUCUUUGCAAUUGCAAUCAGCGUCUGAAUUAUUAUAAAUAAUUAACAA
rnacentral:misc_RNA from 1 species